rnacentral:rRNA from 1 species
UACAGAGGUCUCAAGCGUUGUUCGGAUUCAUUGGGCGUAAAGGGUGCGUAGGCGGCGCGGUAAGUCGGGUGUGAAAUCUUGGAGCUUAACUCCGAAACUGCAUUCGAUACUGCCGUGCUUGAGGACUGGAGAGGAGACUGGAAUUUACGGUGUAGCGGUGAAAUGCGUAGAUAUCGCAAGGAAGACCAGUGGCGAAGGCGGGUCUCUGGACAGUUCCUGACGCUGAGGCACGAAGGUCAGGGGAGCAAACGGG